rfam:Ovis aries breed Texel chromosome 15, whole genome shotgun sequence.
UCCCUGAUAGCUCAGUUGGUAAAGAAUCUGCCUGCAACGCAGGAGACCCCGGUUCGAUUCCUGGGUCGGGAA